GGGGAAUAGAGUGCAUGUUCGGUGCUUGUGUUUUGUAUCUACAAGCACCUGCCGCUGGGAGCUGAGAUGCUUAUCUGUUCUCUCUGUUUACCUGUUUCGUGUAUUUUUGUGGACAGGACAUGGCAGCUUCGUCAACAUCGACUGCAGGACAUGAAAAGAAACAAAGACAAGAACAUAAUCUGCCACGGACUAGAGGGUAAAUCUAAGGCCACUAAAUACUGCACACUGGUCCAGAAGAGAAGGGCCACAUCCUGAUGGGACAGAACUCUUCCAGGACGCCUCCGUGGAAUUGCCAGCUGGUUUGAACCAAAUAAAAAUGGUGUGACACAUUUACUGUGGCCUUCGGAUCUCAACCAGUUCUCUCAAACAUUAUCAAAAUAACAAAUGAAGGAAUGCUUAUGUGUAUUUUUUUUGCUUUAUUUUCACUUGUCUGAUUGUCAAAUGUGUUUUGGGGGUGAAUUUUUGCUAUUUGUUAUGUGGCCAUACUUCAAAAAUAGAACUCACUUUCUUUGUUGGUUUUUCCAGACUAACCAUAGACUUUAUAAAAAAAAAAGCUUUCAAUACAAAGCAAAAAAACUUCAUAUCUGCAAACGCUGAUACAAGACGUAUACAGCAACCGAUAAUUCACCCAGGCUACUACACAGUUCUUUGUCCUGUGUACUGGCAACACAUUAUCACACAGUUUGCACAUAUAGGUCAUAUUAACACAUAGAAAACAGAAAAACACGAUAUUCAUUCCCCAAACACCAACACUGUGUCAGAUAACUGACACAUCAGCACAAACACACAGGCUGGAGGAAGACCAUGAUUCAUGAGAGACAACAAUGACACACCUGAUUUCACAAGAACUCAACAUUUGUUGUGUAGCUUACUCGAGCAUUUGCGACACUUUGUCUGCUCAGAUCACUGGGCCAUGCCAAAACCUGCACUACCGCUGUCUUUCACAAACACAGAGCAGAUUAAUGUAGACACACACACACACACACACACAAUAAUUCCCUAGUGACAGACCUGACUCUUUCUCGGACAAGUGUUAAUUUACUGAGCAUCCAAACACACAUGUGCACAAUUUAAACUAAUAUUUUUCUGACACAAACCGUUGUAAAUAAGAUUUUUUUACAAAACAAAAUGGAGGAAUUGUCAAAGUCGAGCUCUUACACACAUGACCUUUGGAUCUCUUCCCUAAUUUUCAUGAC